rnacentral:lncRNA from 1 species
AAAUUGAAGUCCCAAUCUCAGCCCUAAAUCCCUCCCCUGCUGCCGCCGCCCCCACUCCCGUCUCCGAUGAGUCGGCGCCCCUCGCCGCCCGUCAUCGCCCAGACCCUCGCCCAGUCGGUUCGCCGAGCUUCGCCCAGUCGGUUCGCCGAGCUUCGCCCAGCUCGCUCCCAGUCUCUCCCAGCCACGACCCUCGCCCAGUCGCCCCUUCGUUCCGCCGCCGUCGGUUCGCCGAGCUUGUCGCCCAGACCAGCCAUGCCGCCAGACCAGCCAUGCCAUGCCGCCGAGCUUCUACGCCUUCUCUUCUUCUUCUUCUUCUUCGAAUCUUCUUCUUCUUCUUUCUUUUUUCUUUUUUUUUAAAAUACAGAUUUUCUAUGUAUGAUUUUGUAUGAUUUGUAUGAAUUUCGACUGAAUUCAUUUGGGGAAUGGCGUAAAAACUAUCGGGUAAUGGGGAAUUUCGACUGAAUUCAUUUGAGCUUUCUUGAUCUGCUUUGAAUUGGCUCGAUUUUGGGUUGAAUUUUGGUGGAAUUUUGGGUUGAAUUUUGGUGAAAUUUCAGUUCGGGUAAUUUAGGGUACCCGAAUACCCGACUCGGGUACCCGAGUCGGGUAUUAGGGUACCCGAUUUCAAUUUCGGGUUCGGGUUCGGGUAGCAAAUUUAGGGUAUUUUCGGGUUCGGGUACCCGAUUUUUUCGGGUAGGGUACCCGAACCCGACCCGAUUCCCAGCCCUA